rnacentral:rRNA from 1 species
UACGUAGGGGGCAAGCGUUGUCCGGAAUCAUUGGGCGUAAAGAGCGUGUAGGCGGCCCGAUAAGUCCGCUGUGAAAGUCCAGGGCUCAACCCUGGGAUGCCGGUGGAUACUGUCGGGCUCGAGUCCGGAAGAGGAGUGUGGAAUUCCUGGUGUAGCGGUGAAAUGCGCAGAUAUCAGGAAGAACACCUAUGGCGAAGGCAGCUCUCUGGGACGGUACUGACGCUGAGACGCGAAAGCGUGGGGAGCGAACAGG